rnacentral:rRNA from 1 species
UGACAAUGACGCAGAGGACACACCUGUACCCAUACCGAACACAGUAGUUAAGCUCUGCGGUGCCGAUGAUACUUGGCGGGCAGCCGCCCGGGAAAGUAGGGCGUUGCUG